rnacentral:lncRNA from 1 species
CACUUGUAUAUGCACAUAUACUUGCACUUGUAUAUGCACUUAUACUUGCACUUGUACUAAUUUACCUUACCUUUUGACGAACUUUUUUAGGUUGUGCAAAAUUUCUUAGAAAGCAAACCCGAAGCUCUUAAAGAAGUUCUUAAUUUGAUGUUUCAUUUGAUAUUGGGAGGUAGGGGCACACACAGAUGGACAAGAAUACAUGAAAUACAUAUGUUACGUGUCAUGUUUUGUUGUAUAUUGGUGUUAGUCAUUUACAUAUCUGCCACAUGAGUGUAUAUUUUUUUUUUUUUUUUUGCUCAACUACAAAAACAGGCGAUUUCGGUAGUACGUGGAGUAUAUCUCAACCAUUGUUAGGAUUAAUAUUGUUAGAUACGCAUGGCUAUUUCAAAAUUCAGGAGCAAUUAAUUUCACAACAAAGCGAAGAUAAAAAGCAAAAAUUAAGACAUAGCUUUUUUAAAUUAAUGGACGAUAUCGAAUCAAAUUUAGCCCCAACUAAUAGAGAAAAUUUUACUAGAAACCUGUAUACAUUUGCUCAAGAAAUAAGAAAUAUUUUAAUAUAAAAAAAAAAAAAAAAAUACAAAUCGAAUAGAACAAAUAGGAUUGUGCAAAAGGAAUAGACACCGAAUAUUUAUUUUUUUUUUUACUUAUUAAAGACAUAUACAUAUAUGUAUAUAUAUAUAUAUAUAUAUAUAUAUAUAUUGACCAAUUUUAUUAAAGUAAUUAUUUUUUUUUUUUUUUUUAUGCCACUUUAUCAUAAUAAACUUUUAUACUUUUCUUAAAAUUUUAUACUU